rnacentral:rRNA from 1 species
AGCGAACGCUGGCGGCAGGCCUAACACAUGCAAGUCGAACGGAUCCUUCGGGAUUAGUGGCGGACGGGUGAGUAACACGUGGGAACGUGCCUUUUGGUUCGGAACAACUCAGGGAAACUUGAGCUAAUACCGAAUGUGCCCUUCGGGGGAAAGAUUUAUCGCCAUUAGAGCGGCCCGCGUCUGAUUAGCUAGUUGGUGAGGUAAAGGCUCACCAAGGCUACGAUCAGUAGCUGGUCUGAGAGGAUGAUCAGCCACAUUGGGACUGAGACACGGCCCAAACUCCUACGGGAGGCAGCAGUGGGGAAUCUUGCGCAAUGGGCGAAAGCCUGACGCAGCCAUGCCGCGUGAAUGAUGAAGGUCUUAGGAUUGUAAAAUUCUUUCACCGGGACGAUAAUAGACGGUACCCGGAGAAGAAGCCCCGGCUAACCUUCGUG